rnacentral:rRNA from 1 species
CCUACGGGAGGCAGCAGUGGGGAAUAUUGGGCAAUGGGCGCAAGCCUGACCCAGCAACGCCGCGUGAAGGAAGAAGGCUUUCGGGUUGUAAACUUCUUUUCUCGGGGACGAAGAAAGUGACGGUACCUGAGGAAUAAGCCACGGCUAACUACGUGCCAGCAGCCGCGGUAAUACAUAGGUGGCAAGCGUUAUACGGAUUUACUGGGUGUAAAGGGGGUGGAGGGGGGAAAGCAAGUCAGAUGUGAAAACCAUGGGCUCAACCUGUGGCCUGCAGGUGAGACUGUUUUUCUGGAGUACGAGAGAGGCAGACGGAAUUCCUAGUGUAGCGGUGCAAUGCGUAGAUAUUAGGAGGAACACCAGUGGCGAAGGCGGUCUGCUGGACAGCAACUGACGCUGAGGCGCGAAAGCGUGGGGAGCAAACAGGAUUAGAUACCCGGGUAGUC